CCCUUAGACGUUCUGGGCCGCACGCGCGCUACACUGACGAAGGCAACGAGCUUUCCUUUACCGAAAGGUACGGGUAAUCUUUUGAAACUUCGUCGUGCUGGGGAUAGAUCCUUGCAAUUUUUGAUCUUAAACGAGGAAUGCCUAGUAAGCGCAAGUCAUCAACUUGCGUUGAUUACGUCCCUGCCCUUUGUACACACCGCCCGUCGCUACUACCGAUUGGAUGGUUUAGUGAGGCCUUCGGAUCCGCGACUCGUUUGUGGAGAAGUUGGACAAACUCAGUCAUUUAGAGGAAGUAAAAGUCGUAACA
rnacentral:rRNA from 1 species